rnacentral:tRNA from 1 species
UGGUCGGGAAGCUCAGC